rnacentral:rRNA from 1 species
CAAUAGCGUAUAUUUAAGUUGCUGCAGUUAAAAAGCUCGUAGUUGGAUUUCGGGUGGGAAUGGCCGGUCCGCCGUUUCGGUGUGCACUUGCUACGCCCACCUUGCUGCCGGGGACGUGCUCUUGAGUUCACGCUCGGGACACGGAGUCGGCGAGGUUACUUUGAGUAAAUUAGAGUGUUCAAAGCAGGCAUUCGCUUGAAUACAUUAGCAUGGAAUAAUAAGAUAGGAUCUUGUCUAUUUUGUUGGUUGCGGACAAAGAUAAUGAUUAAUAGGGAUAGUUGGGGGUGUCCGUAUUGAGCUGUCAGAGGUGAAAUUCUUAGAUUUGCUCAAGACGAACUACUGCGAAAGCAUUCACCAAGGAUGUUUUCAUUAA